rnacentral:rRNA from 1 species
UACGUAGGGGGCGAGCGUUGUCCGGAUUUAUUGGGCGUAAAGAGCGUGUAGGCGGUUCGGUAAGUCUGUCGUGAAAUCCUGAGGCUCAACCUCGGGCGUGCGAUGGAUACUGCCGGGCUAGAGUCCGGAAGAGGCGAGUGGAACUCCUGGUGUAGCGGUGGAAUGCGCAGAUAUCAGGAGGAACACCAAUAGCGAAGGCAGCUCGCUGGGACGGUACUGACGCUGAGGCGCGAAAGCGUGGGGAGCGAACAGG